CAUGUCAUCACUUCAUUUUUUUGCGCCUGCGCAUAAAUCUGAGAAACGUGAGUUUGUCAUAAUUUUUUAUCUAGACAUAGGAUAGGUUGUGUGAAAAUAUUACUGAUGUUUAACGUUAAAAAUGGACCAAAAGAUUAAUGCUAAACAACAUUUGACAUGUUUGAACGAACAUAAAUAGAUUAUUUACUAGGUUUUUUUAUCUUUUCGGCGUGAUUUUACCAGCCCCCACCACGUUUUGUGGGAGCAUAAUGAACGCUAAGUACUUGGUGUUAUUUGGACAUAAAUUAUGAACUUUGUCAAAAGAAACCACAUUUGUUCCGGACCUGGAAUGCCUUCCGGACCUGGGAUCCUGCCCUCUGAUGGAGAUAAUCAAAGCUAAGAUCCCUCCUGUUUCCUGAUUAAGAGGUGAUGACUACUCCACUCCACUACCUUUGUCAACUUUCUCCUGACAUGAACUGAAGCCACAUCUCAUGUGCCCACUCAUCCACUGGCACAUUGAAUGUUUCCCCUCCAAGCAGACCUGAGCCCUAGGACCAUGCCUCAGGACUACCUGGUAUGAUGACUCCUUGCUGUCCCCAGUCCACCUGGCCGUGCUGCUGCUCCAGCUUCAACUGUUCUGCCUGCGGCUAUGGAACCCUGACCUGUUCACCGGACGUGCUUGUUGCACCCUCGACAACUACUAUGAUUAUUAUUACUUGACCAUGCUGGUCAUUUAUGAACAUUUUAACAUCUUGACCAUGUUCUGUUAUAAUAUCC
rnacentral:lncRNA from 1 species